GUAUGAUGUCUCGGUUUCUUUAUUGAACUGUUGACAUGAACGUGUGCUCCAAGUGGGCCAUUUUUGGUAAGCAGAACUGGCGCUGUGGGAUGAACCAAACGCUGGGUUAAGGUGCCUAACUUUUCUCUCAUGAGACCCCAUAAAAGGCGUUGGUUGAUAUAGACAGCAGGACGGUGGCCAUGGAAGUCGGUACCCGCUAAGGAGUGUGUAACAACUCACCUGCCGAAUCGACUAGCCCUGAAAAUGGAUGGCGCUUGAGCGAAAGACCUAUACCCGGCCGUUACUGGCUUGUGCGAUGGCUAACGCCUGGCCGUAACGAGUAGGAGGGUCGUGGUGGUUGCGUUGAAGGCUUAGGGCGUAGGCCCGGCUGGAGCUUCCAUCAGUGCAGAUCUCGGUGGUAGUAGCAAAUAUUUAAGUUCGAUCCUUGAAGACUGAAGUGGGGAAGGGUUCCACGUGAACAGUAGUUGAAUGUGGGUCAGUCGAUCCUAAGAUACUGGCUUAUGCCUUGUAUCAUCGAGAGGGAGAAGUUUCUUCUCUCUCGGAUAUCGAAAGGGAAUAGAGUUAAUAUUCUCUAACGCAGACAUAGAGAUUGUGGCUCUUUGAGUUGCUUGCGCGGUAACGCAUUCGAACUCGGUAACGUCGCUUAGAGACCGAGCUAGAGUUUUCUUCUCUAGUUAAGGAACGGACUCCCUGGAAUCGGUUCAUCCGGAGAUAGGGACGUUGUUUCCGUAAAGCACCGCGGUUUCUGUGGUGUCUCGUGCUCUCUGAACGGCCCUUGAAAAACCGAGGGAGGUCUAUUAAUCUAUGCUGCAUCGUACCGAUAUCCGCAUCAGGUCCUCAAGGUGAACAGCCUCUAGUCGAUAGAAUAAUGUAGGUAAGGGAAGUCGGCAAAUUAGAUCCGUAACUUCGGGAAAAGGAUUGGCUCCAGUGAUCGGGUCGGUUGGCCUGUUCACUGAUACUUGUAUGGUUUCGUUCGUGGCUGGCUGAUGCUAACGCUGAUGUCGGAC
rnacentral:ncRNA from 1 species